GAUCUGUCCCCUGCAGUGGCAUACGAGGUUCUUGAGGGCAAAGACUGUAUCUACCUUAAUCCUGUCCCAGUGUCCGGCCAAUAGAAGCUCCUUGGAUCAUUUACCAUCCGCUUCCUCAGAAAACAAGCAGUUCAGGAUUGUUGCUGGAAAUGCGUUGAGUUGGAAGUUGACACUGUGGGUGCAUGGUCCUUCCUGUUGAAUCUAAGCAGGCCUGUGACUACAGUGGAAGGGAAGCUUCCUGACUUCCAAGGCUGACUCAUAACAAGUGUGAAUAGAGCCAACCCGUGUGACUAAUAGGAUACUGCAGAAGUGGUGGUGCGUGGCUUCUAAGAAUAAGUAAUAAAAUGCAUUGCAGCUGCUGCCUUGGCUUCUGGGGAAGCCAGCUGCUGCAUAGUUAGAUCACUCUGCAGCAAGGUCCCCAGCGAGGAACUGAGGCCUCCACAACAGCUGGCACCGGUAUGACAGUCACAGGAAAAAGCCACCCUGGAAGUAGAUCCCGUCACCCCAAACAAGUCUUCAGAUGGCUGCCAACUCAGCCAACAUCCAACUCAGCCUCACGAAAACUCCCAGACAUGGUGAGAAAUAAUAAUGUGUAUUGUUUUAGGCUACUGCAUUGCGGGUAUUGAUUAUGCAACAGUAAACAAUUACUACAAGAAGUCGGGUUCUACCGUCAGAGGAGCCGGUGUUUGAUUUUCACUUGAUCACACGGCCACAUGUUAACUUCCCCAAGCCUGAGUUUCCUCCUGCAAAAAUGACAGCACCCACUUCCUGCUGUCAUUUCGAGGGUUACAUUAGAUAAUCCAUGUAGAAUGCUAAGCAUGAUGCCUGACAUACAGUAAGCUUGCUGCAAAUGUUAGCUCCCAUUACGAUUAUUACUCCAGCUCUACCUAUUCAAAUUUUUGUGCGGUUAUCAAGACGUGAUUCUUAUAACAGCAUUUGAACAUAAAAGAAGUGAUAGUAAUGAAGGGACCCACUUGGAUCCACCCCAAGACGGCAUAAAGAUUACUUUAAAUUGAAGACAUUUGAAAUACAGCAGAGGCAGAAAGAAGACUUUCUGGAGCUUCCCUUAUCUGAAUAAAGGCAGAGACUUCUGAGAAUAAAUGCCCUGUCCUGGGAAGUUUCCAGCCAGGAAGGAGGCUGACCAUUAGAGAAGGUGCAUAAACAAACCUUAUCAAAAACCAUCUACCUUCCAUUUGUCCUCCUAGAACAAAUCUUCUAUCUUUACUCCAUCCUCACCCUCACCCUUUCCCUUCCCUGGUUAAGCUGGCAUGUAAGCCCGUACCCCCAGCUGUUCAGUGAGUUCAUCAGUACUGAGUACUCCCACAGACAAGGCAAUCAACUUCAUCUUUUCUUUUGUUAAUAUAUCAAUUGUCAGUUAAUUUGCAGACCCCUGGUAUCUGGACCUAAGUUAAUAGAGGAAAAGUUUUUCUCCCAACAGUAAUAUAGCAUCU